UGGGGAAUAUUGCACAAUGGGCGAAAGCCUGAUGCAGCGACGCCGCGUGAGGGAUGACGGCCUUCGGGUUGUAAACCUCUUUCAGCAGGGAAGAAGCGAAAGUGACGGUACCUGCAGAAGAAGCGCCGGCUAACUACGUGCCAGCAGCCGCGGUAAUACGUAGGGCGCAAGCGUUGUCCGGAAUUAUUGGGCGUAAAGAGCUCGUAGGCGGUUAGUCGCGUCUGCUGUGAAAACUCGAGGCUCAACCUCGGGCUUGCAGUGGGUACGGGCUGACUAGAGUGCGGUAGGGGUGACUGGAAUUCCUGGUGUAGCGGUGGAAUGCGCAGAUAUCAGGAGGAACACCGAUGGCGAAGGCAGGUCACUGGGCCGCAACUGACGCUGAGGAGCGAAAGCAUGGGGAGCGAACAGGAUUAGAUACCCUGGUAGUCCAUGCCGUAAACGUUGGGCACUAGGUGUGGGGUCCAUUUCCACGGAUUCCGUGCCGCAGCAAACGCAUUAAGUGCCCCGCCUGGGGAGUACGGCCGCAAGGCUAAAACUC
rnacentral:rRNA from 1 species